CUGUUUACAUACCGAACACAGAAGUAAAGUCCUUCAGCGCUGAAAGUACUUGGUGGGCAACUGCCUGGGAGGAUAGGACAUCGCGGGGU
rnacentral:rRNA from 1 species